rnacentral:rRNA from 1 species
GACGAACGCUGGCGGCGCGCCUAACACAUGCAAGUCGAACGGAGCUGAGAGAAGCUUGCUUUUCUUAGCUUAGUGGCGAACGGGUGAGUAACGCGUGAGUAACCUGCCCUGGAGUGGGGGACAACAGUUGGAAACGACUGCUAAUACCGCAUAAGCCCACGAUCCGGCAUCGGCUUGAGGGAAAAGGAUUUAUUCGCUUCAGGAUGGACUCGCGUCCAAUUAGCUAGUUGGUGAGGUAACGGCCCACCAAGGCGACGAUUGGUAGCCGGACUGAGAGGUUGAACGGCCACAUUGGGAGUGAGACACGGCCCAGACUCCUACGGGAGGCAGCAGUGGGGGAUAGUGCACAAUGGGGGAAACGCUGAUGCAGCGACGACGCGUGGAGGAAGAAGGUUGUCGGAUUGUAAACUCCUGUCGUUAGGGACGAUAAUGACGGUACCUAACAAGAAAGCACCGGCUAACUACGUG